CCUGGGCCGUUGGCCCAGGCUUUCACAUGGCGCGCCUUUGGCGCU
rnacentral:sRNA from 1 species